UCGGGAAUUUUGGGCAAUGGGCGCAAGCCUGACCCAGCAACGCCGCGUGAAGGAUGAAAUCCUUCGGGAUGUAAACUUCGCAAGAACGGGAAGAAUAAGUAGGGGACAAUACCCUCUACGAUGACGGUACUGUUUGUAAGCUCCGGCUAACUCCGUGCCAGCAGCCGCGGUAAUACGGGGGGAGCAAGCGUUGUUCGGAUUUACUGGGCGUAAAGGGCGCGUAGGCGGCCACCGCAAGUCGGUUGUGAAAUCUCCGGGCUUAACCCGGAAAGGUCAAUCGAUACUGCGGGGCUAGAGUGCAGAAGGGGCAACUGGAAUUCUCGGUGUAGCGGUGAAAUGCGUAGAUAUCGAGAGGAACACCUGCGGCGAAGGCGGGUUGCUGGGCUGACACUGACGCUGAAGCGCGAAAGCUAGGGGAGCGAACGG
rnacentral:rRNA from 1 species